GUAUAGAGCCCUUCGUAUUCAUAAGUUGUUUUCGAUGAUGGAGCUUCCAAAUCGAUGAUCCAUUCCGUUAAAUAUGAUAUAGAGUAUUUGAAACCUUUAGAAAUUAAAUUUUGUAAUUUUUCGAAAUCGUAAUAAAGUCUAUCAAGCGGGCAUAAAAUGAACGGUCAAAAUCGAACGACAUUCUAAAAAUUGGUGAUUGGAUUCUUCAAUUUAAGAUCAGAGUUAUUGAUCUUUAUUUAGGUAGUGAAUAGAAUUUUCUAUCAAAAAUUCAAUCUAUUCUGAUUCUAUUACACCGUUAAACUAGCAAGUAUCUCAUACCAGCCGUUAAAAAUUAUCAAUUUUGUGACCUUUUGAUCGUAAGGUAAAAAUAACGUUUAACGGUAUGAAAUUUGAUUUCUAGAAAUUUAAAAUGCUCUAGAUAACGUUUAACGGUAUGGAUUGUCGAUUCGGAAGCUCUAUCAUCAAAAAGGACUUAUGAGUUCGAAGGCGAUCGUACUCAUAAGAGUAUAGUAGCCGGACUCUAUAUAUAGAAUUCAGCUAGAAUGCUUCCGAGAGCAUAAAAGAGUUGGUGCUUUUGACGUUUUGG
rnacentral:lncRNA from 1 species